GCCCUCUCUGUGCUUCGCUUUGACCCUCCACCCCCUAAUCCCGCUUUCUGGUUCCCUAUUUAGAUGAGCAUCCCUGAUGCAUUUAGCGAAUUCUUCCUCCGUCGAGUCUCCGUAGGAAUCUGCUUUCUGAGAAGCGGCUUGUGCUUCCGAGAAACCGAAGGGAGCCUCGCGGGUUUGCAGGCUCGCGGGUGGGUGAGCCAAAGAGCCAGGGAAGGCAGCGCAUGACUAACCGGCGUGACGCGGCACCCGUGAGCGCUCGACAGCCACUCAUCACCAGCAGCAGAUUGAAGGUUCCAAUUUGUGAUUCUGGGGAGUACUAGAGAAUGUGCAGGAUUCUUGAGAAUGACAAACUGAGAACAUGAUAGAAAUGAAAAAUAUAAAAGGAAGGCUCAGAAAAAAAGCUUAGAAAAGAACAAAUCGUUAAGAAGAAAAACAGAAAUGGAAAUUUUCCAAAGAGGUGGUUGGCUUACAUUUUUGAAAACUGGAAACAAUGAAAAAGAGGAGGCUUGUGUUAAACAUAAUGCACAUAAAAUUCACAAGAAGGAUAUUACACAUUUGAUGUAAUUACUCAUCCAAACAAUGAAAACGUGCAAAACUGUUACUGGCAUCAAGCCUCUGUUUGUACAGCUCAAAUAAAAUCCCUGUGCUUUCACAUCUUUUCCUGCAUGCAGACUGAACUACAAUACAAGAUAAUUAGAGUGUGUGAGGACCCAGUUUGACUCCUGCCCCAGGCCUUGUGUUGGGAAGCAUUGGGGAAGAGGGCUGCCAGGAGAUAUGCAAUGCCCCUGAGCAAAGAAGCUGAAGACCUAGAGAAGAAACCCCUUCAAAGUUCUCUGCGUAUUAAUCCACCCAGUGGAAACUUCUGCAAUUCAGGGAGGAAGUUCUUCGGAAUCACAAUCAGACGGUGGAGUGCUGCUUCGGCUAAUUUUCUAUGGUGGUUUCCAGAAAGGCAAUCCUAAUCUAUGUUUACUCAUUCUUCUCAUACAGAAUCAUUAACCCUGCUCUCCCCCAGUUUGUUAAUGCACAUGUGAGUCCCACCGGGUAUCACCCAGCUCUUUCCUUAAUCACCAUGAGCCGCGUAUAAACCUGCCUCCCUCUCCGAAGAGCUCUGUUUACCCACCCUUAUCACCUCCCACAGUCUGCUCAGCUACCGGAGACUCUGUGACAAGGGGCCAUAAACGUGACACUGUCCUUGAAAGAUAUCAGUAAAAUUUUACAUUAUUAUCCUGAUUGGGGGGGAGGAGCGGGGGGGGGGCGGUUGGAAAGACGCUUCAAAGGGAGUCAGAUUAUUUUCUUUUGUCAGAGGUUAAAUGGAUAAUUAAUUUGCAUCUGUGCCUUUCCACAGCCAUUUUACACCUGUCUGAUAGAAUAAAUUAUAAACCAUGAAAAAGAAAACAGU